rnacentral:rRNA from 1 species
GAUGAACGCUGGCGGCGUGCCUAAUACAUGCAAGUCGAGCGAACAGACGAGGAGCUUGCUCCUCUGACGUUAGCGGCGGACGGGUGAGUAACACGUGGAUAACCUACCUAUAAGACUGGGAUAACUUCGGGAAACCGGAGCUAAUACCGGAUAAUAUAUUGAACCGCAUGGUUCAAUAGUGAAAGACGGUUUUGCUGCCACUUAUAGAUGGAUCCGCGCCGCAUUAGCUAGUUGGUAAGGUAACGGCUUACCAAGGCAACGAUGCGUAGCCGACCUGAGAGGGUGGUCGGUCACACUGGAACUGAGACACGGUCCAGACUCCUACGGGAGGCAGCAGUAGGGAAUCUUCCGCAAAGGGCGAAAGCCUGACGGAGCAACGCCGCGUGAGUGAUGAAGGUCUUCGGAUCGUAAAACUCUGUUAUUAGGGAAGAACAAAUGUGUAAGUAACUAUGCACGUCUUGACGGUACCUAAUCAGAAAGCCACGGCUAACUACGUG